UUCAACUUCUUCACGCUCUCCUUCCUUUCCCCAACGAACUCGCGGCGACGGUGAAGGCACGGUGGAGAAUCUUUCUUCUCCGAUCAGACACGCAACAUCGUCCGGCCACUCUACCUCAUUCUCAGUCUCCGAUUAGGAGUUUCGAUAGGUCCUCUCCUCUCUCCCUCGCGAAGUCGCAGACGUGAAACGGCGGCGGCUAUCUCUCCCUCUCUGGCGAUACUCGCAGCGCCGCCGCGAUGACAACGCCACGAUGGUCUUCUCACACUUUUCUUCCCGAGAUGAUGAUGAUGAUGAUGAUGAUGAGAGAUGCAGCGUAUGCGAUUGAAGCAUGAAUUCAGCGAGAUUGAAGAAGCGAAGGAUGAAGAUUCAAGAGCGAAUCAUUCUGAGUUUGUUACAGAUUGAAUAGGAGUUUCAAGAAUAGAGAGUGGAGGAGAAUUGAAGGUGUCGAGAGAUGAUUGAGAAGUAAUGGUGAAGAUGAUGAAUAUUCUGAGAGGAAGCAGAGCAAUGGUGAAGGAUGAGAUGAGGGGAGGAGAAGAUGGUGUCUAAAAAACUGAAAUGGUGGCUGAUUGCAGGUUAUAUAGAGAGUCAUUUGAAGGCGUGGAUGUCAAACUAAUUCACUGAUAAUUUAUGGCCAGAAUUCCUGUUGCAAACUGGUUCGGUUUCGAGUGUCUUGAAAAGGUGAUACUGCUUUUUCUUUGCUUUUUUGUUUGAAUGUUGCAGGUUAAGUGGAUGGGUUUGGGUGGCUGCAACAUGAUUGUAUGAAUAUGGUGAAGAAUGGGAUUAGUGUUAUGACUAAUGAAGCUUGCUUAGA